rnacentral:lncRNA from 1 species
GCAACUUUUUAUUCAUUCACAUCUUUACUGAGCAUCAAGUAUGGGAUAGACAGGUAGAGGGUGGUGAGGAAAAGUGACAGUAAAAAUAAAAGAUCAAAGGUAAGAAAGGCAUAUAUUCUGGCUUCCUUUUCUUUGUAAAACUGUUCCUUUUUCCAGGAAGAAAGUAGUAAAAGAAAUCUUUUGAUCUCUGUGUUCCACCAUGGUCUUAGAAUCUUUACCAUAUACAAUACUAACAACUUCACAAUGGAAAUGUGGACUUAUGGGGUCCUUCCAGAGAUGCUCCCAGGAACUGCAAGGCUCCACUCUAUUCCCAC